rnacentral:rRNA from 1 species
AACGAACGCUGGCGGCGUGGAUAAGACAUGCAAGUCGAACGGGAUAACAUCUGUAGCAAUACAGGUGUUAUUUAGUGGCGAACGGGUGCGUAACACGUGGGCAAUCUGCCGAGAAGUGGGGGAUAGCUCGCCGAAAGGCGAAUUAAUACCGCAUAUGAUCAGCUAAGACAUCUUAGCGACAUCAAAGCCGGGGCAACCUGGCGCUUCUUGAUGAGCCCGCGGCCUAUCAGCUAGUUGGUGAGGUAACGGCUCACCAAGGCUAUGACGGGUAGCUGGUCUGAGAGGACGACCAGUCACACUGGAACUGAGACACGGUCCAGACACCUACGGGUGGCAGCAGUGGGAAUCUUGCGCAAUGCGCGAAAGCGUGACGCAGCAACGCCGCGUGGGG